UAAUACGGAGGAUGCGAGCGUUAUCCGGAUUUAUUGGGUUUAAAGGGUGCGUAGGCCGACUUUUAAGUCAGCGGUGAAAUUUUCCGGCUUAACCGGGACCUUGCCGUUGAAACUGAUAGUCUUGAGUGUAAAUGAGGUAGGCGGAAUGUGUGGUGUAGCGGUGAAAUGCUUAGAUAUCACACAGAACUCCGAUUGCGAAGGCAGCUUACUGGCAUACAACUGACGCUGAGGCACGAAAGUGUGGGUAUCAAACAGGAUUAGAUACCCUGGUAGUCCACACAGUAAACGAUGAUAACUAGCCGUUGGCGAUAUACAGUCAGUGGCAGAGCGAAAGCAUUAAGUUAUCCACCUGGGGAGUACGCCGGCAACGGUGAAACUCAAAGGAAUUGACGG
rnacentral:rRNA from 1 species